GUGUCAGCCGCCGCGGUAAUACGUAGGGUGCGAACGUUGUUCGGAAUCACUGGGCAUAAAGGGCGCGUAGGCGGUCCAUUAAGUCCUUUGUGAAAGCCCCCGGCUCAACCGGGGAAUUGCAGGGGAUACUGUUGGGCUUGAGUGCAGGAGGGGAGAGCGGAAUUCCUGGUGGAGCGGUGAAAUGCGUAGAUAUCAGGAGGAACGCCGGUGGCGAAAGCGGCUCUCUGGUCUGUUACUGACGCUGAGGCGCGAAAGCUAGGGGAGCAAACGGGAUUAGAAACCCCCGUAGUCC
rnacentral:rRNA from 1 species